rnacentral:rRNA from 1 species
GGCGGACGGGUGAGUAACGCGUAAAGAACUUGCCCUUUAGACUGGGAUAACAGAGGGAAACUUCUGAUAAUACUGGAUAAGUUAGUAUAUCGCAUGAUAUGCAAAUGAAAGCUACGGCACUAAAGGAGAGCUUUGCGUCCUAUUAGCUAGUUGGUAAGGUAAGAGCUUACCAAGGCGAUGAUAGGUAGCCGGCCUGAGAGGGUGGACGGCCACAAGGGGACUGAGAUACGGCCCUUACUCCUACGGGAGGCAGCAGCA